ncrna:Prevotella paludivivens DSM 17968 = JCM 13650 engA RNA
GCUCUGAAUGGAAUGAGAGCAAACUCUCCUUUAGGAGGGCCGAAGAAUGUAUAACUUCAGAAAUUAAACAAUUUU